UCAACCAUCGGAUCGGUCAAUACUUCUAGUAUGUGUGACCCCAUAGGUUCUAUUCCGACUGGUAGUGAGAUAUAUUAUGAUCUCUAUCACAAUAUCAUUGAAAACUCCUUUCAAUGGGUUGGAACGAUUCCAACUCAACUCGUUAGGGUUUAUCGAUCAUCAAGAUAAUCCCUAUGAGUCCCACCAUCCACCAGUGACACCUAGCAGCAUGUAGUGGCUACCCAGCAGAAUGGAAUGAUGAAUCUCUAGGUGCAGUUAACAUGUGAUACAGUCCUACUAUCGUGGAUCCCUACAGGACGGAGGUCAUGGACAACUCGUCAAACCCCAUCGUCUGUCAUAUGUCAAGAUUUAUUCGACUUGAGUUGGAUAGUGGAAAACUCUUUUUCCACUUUAUAUUACUGCCCUGGCCAAGGUCUUAGAACUCAGUCUAACAAAUCACAUAGGAUCACUCCUCUUCUAUCAAGGUCGAUAGAUUCCUUAUAAGUGCAUACCCUACUCCUACAGUGACCCUACUGCAGCCAAUCUACAAUGCAUGGACCCAUAUGGCUAG
rnacentral:lncRNA from 1 species